rnacentral:rRNA from 1 species
UACGGAGGGUGCAAGCGUUAUCCGGAUUCACUGGGCUUAAAGGGUGCGUAGGUGGGACUGUAAGUCAGUGGUGAAAUCUCCGUGCUUAACAUGGAAACUGCCAUUGAUACUAUGUUUCUUGAAUUUUCUGGAGGUAAGCGGAAUAUGUCAUGUAGCGGUGAAAUGCUUAGAUAUGACAUAGAACACCAAUUGCGAAGGCAGCUUACUACAGGGAUAUUGACACUGAGGCACGAAAGCGUGGGGAUCAAACAGG